AGCAGUAGCCGCGGUAAUACGGAGGGUGCAAGCGUUAAUCGGAAUUACUGGGCGUAAAGCGUGCGUAGGCGGUUCGUUAAGUCUGUUGUGAAAGCCCCGGGCUCGACCUGGGAAUGGCAAUGGAUACUGGCGAGCUAGAGUGUGUCAGAGGAUGGUGGAAUUCCCGGUGUAGCGGUGAAAUGCGUAGAGAUCUGGAGGAAUACCGAUGGCGAAGGCAGCCAUCUGGCCUAAUACUGACGCUGAGGUACGAAAGCAUGGGGAGCAAACAGGAUUAGAUACCCCCGUAGUCCCUGUCUCUUAUAU
rnacentral:rRNA from 1 species